rnacentral:rRNA from 1 species
CGCAUCUGUGCAUGCAGCAUAUCAAUAAGCGGAGGAAAAGAAACUAACAAGGAUUCCCCUAGUAACGGCGAGUGAAGCGGGAAGAGCUCAAAUUUGAAAUCUUAAAGGGUUUCCCUUUACGAAUUGUAGUUUAAAGAAGUGUUUUCUGUUGAGGUUUUGGUAAAAGUUCUUUGGAAUAGGACAUCAUAGAGGGUGAGAAUCCCGUAUUUGACCUUUACUUUCAACUUUGUGAUACACUUUCAAAGAGUCGGAUUGUUUGGGAAUGCAGUCCAAAAUGGGUGGUAAAUUUCAUCUAAAGCUAAAUAUUGGCGAGAGACCGAUAGCGAACAAGUACCGUGAGGGAAAGAUGAAAAGAACUUUGAAAAGAGAGUUAAACAGUACGUGAAAUUGUCAAAAGGGAAGCGUUUGACACCAGUGUUGUUUUUCUGAGAAUCAAUUAAAGAACUGUUUAUGCUAAGCUGUUUAGACUUUAUCAGCUAUACUGUUUAGUUUUGAGCUUUUCUUUAAUGCAGCUUUUCAGUUAACAAGUCAACAUCAAUUUCUUUUGCUGUAAAAAAGCUUGAGGAAGGUGACUUGAGAUUCGUCUUAAGUGUUUAUAGCCUCUUGCCUAUGCAGUCGGAGAGAUUGAGGUCUGCAGCGUAGAUCCUUCGGGGCUAAAUGCAUUUGUGCUAAGUUAUAGCAUUUUAUAGGACAACUUGUUGACUAUGAUUUGUCUUGUAGCUUACUCGCUUAUGUUAUUUUACCUACGCUUAGGAUGUUGACAGCAGUAUAGACUGU